GACGAACGCUGGCGGCGUGCUUAACACAUGCAAGUCGAACGGAAAGGCCCUGCUUUUGUGGGGUGCUCGAGUGGCGAACGGGUGAGUAACACGUGAGUAACCUGCCCUUGACUUUGUGAUAACUUCAGGAAACUGGGGCUACUACCUGAUAGGAGCUCCUGCUGCAUGGUGGUCGUUGGAAAGUUUCGGCUGUUGGGGAUGGACUCGCGGCUUAUCAGCUUGUUGGUGGGGUAGUGGCUUACCAAGGCUUUGACGGGUAGCCGGCCUGGGAGGGGGACCGGGGACAUGGGGACUGAGGUACGGAGCAGAAGCGAACGGGAGGCAGAAGGGGGGAAUAUUACACAAUGGGCGGAAGCGUGAUGCAGAAACGCCGCGUGCGGGAUGACGGCCUUCGGGGUGUAAACCGCUGUCGCCUGUGACGAAGCGGGAGUGACGGUAAUGGGUAAAGAAGCACCGGCUAACUACGUG
rnacentral:rRNA from 1 species